ACCGGAUAAUUCCUUUCCUCUCAUGUGGGAAGGAUGAAAGACGGAGCAAUCUGUUACUGAGAGAUGGGCCUGCGGCGCAUUAGCUAGUUGGUGGGGUAACGGCCCACCAAGGCGACGAUGCGUAGCCGACCUGAGAGGGUGAACGGCCACACUGGGACUGAGACACGGCCCAGACUCCUACGGGAGGCAGCAGUAGGGAAUCUUCCGCAAUGGGCGAAAGCCUGACGGAGCAACGCCGCGUGAGUGAUGAAGGUUUUCGGAUCGUAAAGCUCUGUUGCCAGGGAAGAACGUCCGGUAGAGUAACUGCUACCGGAGUGACGGUACCUGAGAAGAAAGCCCCGGCUAACUACGUGCCAGCAGCCGCGGUAAUACGUAGGGGGCAAGCGUUGUCCGGAAUUAUUGGGCGUAAAGCGCGCGCAGGCGGCUAUUUAAGUCUGGUGUUUAAACCAUGGGCUCAACCUGUGGUCGCACUGGAAACUGGGUGGCUUGAGUACAGAAGAGGAAAGUGGAAUUCCACGUGUAGCGGUGAAAUGCGUAGAGAUGUGGAGGAACACCAGUGGCGAAGGCGACUUUCUGGGCUGUAACUGACGCUGAGGCGCGAAAGCGUGGGGGAGCAAACAGGAUUAGAUACCCUGGUAGUCCACGCCGUAAACGAUGAGUGCUAGGUGUUAGGGGUU
rnacentral:rRNA from 1 species